GCUACCAAUACAUUUCUAAAUACAAAACUGACUACCAUAUUGUUACUUCUGUGUAGCAAGAGAAGUUCAUUUUCAAAACAGAUAAAAUUCAGUCUUUAGGUGUGAAUGGUAUGAAUGACAGUCUUUUUUUUUUUUUUUUUACUUAAUUUCCUUAGUCGUUUGGGAUCCUUAAGCAUG